UAUAGUUGGAAAGGCACCAGCACAAAGCCAAGCGCUGAAAAGUGCUUCCUUAUAGCAAUAAUUAAAAAUAUUUGCCACCUAAAAUACAAUUGUACGGAUAAGGACAUGAACAUGGUUUUUCAAAAAUUUUUCGUACAUGCCAUGUUAAUAAAAGAAAGCGUGUGAAUUAGUUUAGUUUUUAUUGAUAUUAUUUGUUAAAUUUAAAUUAUUG